rnacentral:tRNA from 1 species
GUUGAAAUGGCUUAAUUGGGAGAAUGUUUGCCUGAAGAUCUAAAGGUCUCUAGUUCAAUCCUGGAUUUCAGCA